rnacentral:rRNA from 1 species
GGCCAGACUCCUACGGGAGGCAGCAGUGAGGAAUAUUGGUCAAUGGGCUUACGCCUGAACCAGCCAAGUCGCGUGAGGGAAGACUGCCCUAUGGGUUGUAAACCUCUUUUGUCGGGGAGCAAAUUCCGCCACGUGUGGCGGAGUCGAGAGUACCCGAAGAAAAAGCAUCGGCUAACUCCGUGCCAGCAGCCGCGGUAAUACGGAGGAUGCGAGCGUUAUCCGGAUUUAUUGGGUUUAAAGGGUGCGUAGGCGGGCUGUUAAGUCAGCGGUCAAAUGUCGGGGCUCAACCCCGUACUGCCGUUGAAACUGCAUCCCUUGAGUGCGCGAGAAGUAUGCGGAAUGCGUGGUGUAGCGGUGAAAUGCAUAGAUAUCACGCAGAACUCCGAUUGCGAAGGCAGCAUACCGGCGCGCAACUGACGCUCAUGCACGAAAGCGUGGGUAUCGAACAGGAUUAGAUACCCCCGUACCA